rnacentral:rRNA from 1 species
AUGGCUAGGCAAGAAAGUUUUAAUGCUUAUGUUGGUAGAGAAUUAAAGAGUAAUGCUUUCAUGAUUGGACGCUUGAGUGAUUAUAUGGCUAGAGUUAAAGGUGAACUUAAACUCAUUAGAAUAUAUGCUUCUAUGGUUACCACUCAAGCAGAACAAGUACUUAAAGCCCAAAGUGAUUUGCUUGAUGAAUUAAAUAAUAAACAUGAUUUUGCUCUUAAAGUGGCUACUAGAACUAGUAGAAUGACACAGGAACCUUUGUAUCCUGAAGUCCACCCUGAGAGAAUCGAGCAAGAUUCUCAGAGAAAUAAUUUAGAGGUACCUAGUUCUUCUAAAAAGAAGAAAAAGAAAAAUGAUAGGACUUUGCAUGCUUCUAGUGAACCUGUUAUAGACACACCUGAGAAUCCCAAUGAUGUUUCUAUUUCUAAUGUUGAAACACAAUCAGGUGAUGAACAUGAACCUAGUGAUAAUGUUAAUGAUAAUGUUUAUGUUGAUGCUCAACCUAGCAAUACUAAUGAUAUAGAGAUUGAACCUGCUGUUGAUCUUGAUAACCCACAAUCAAAGAAUCAACAUUAUGAUAAGAGAGACUUUGUUGCUAGGAAGCACGGUAAAUAA